rnacentral:rRNA from 1 species
GGGUUGUGAGGUUAAGCGACUAAGCGUACACGGUGGAUGCCCUGGCAGUCAGAGGCGAUGAAGGACGUGCUAAUCUGCGAUAAGCGUCGGUAAGGUGAUAUGAACCGUUAUAACCGGCGAUUUCCGAAUGGGGAAACCCAGUGUGUUUCGACACACUAUCAUUAACUGAAUCCAUAGGUUAAUGAGGCGAACCGGGGGAACUGAAACAUCUAAGUACCCCGAGGAAAAGAAAUCAACCGAGAUUCCCCCAGUAGCGGCGAGCGAACGGGGAGCAGCCCAGAGCCUGAAUCAGUAUGUGUGUUAGUGGAAGCGUCUGGAAAGGCGCGCGAUACAGGGUGACAGCCCCGUACACAAAAAUGCACAUAUUGUGAGCUCGAUGAGUAGGGCGGGACACGUGGUAUCCUGUCUGAAUAUGGGGGGACCAUCCUCCAAGGCUAAAUACUCCUGACUGACCGAUAGUGAACCAGUACCGUGAGGGAAAGGCGAAAAGAACCCCGGCGAGGGGAGUGAAAAAGAACCUGAAACCGUGUACGUACAAGCAGUGGGAGCACGCUUAGGCGUGUGACUGCGUACCUUUUGUAUAAUGGGUCAGCGACUUAUAUUCUGUAGCAAGGUUAACCGAAUAGGGGAGCCGAAGGGAAACCGAGUCUUAACUGGGCGUUAAGUUGCAGGGUAUAGACCCGAAACCCGGUGAUCUAGCCAUGGGCAGGUUGAAGGUUGGGUAACACUAACUGGAGGACCGAACCGACUAAUGUUGAAAAAUUAGCGGAUGACUUGUGGCUGGGGGUGAAAGGCCAAUCAAACCGGGAGAUAGCUGGUUCUCCCCGAAAGCUAUUUAGGUAGCGCCUCGUGAAUUCAUCUCCGGGGGUAGAGCACUGUUUCGGCAAGGGGGUCAUCCCGACUUACCAACCCGAUGCAAACUGCGAAUACCGGAGAAUGUUAUCACGGGAGACACACGGCGGGUGCUAACGUCCGUCGUGAAGAGGGAAACAACCCAGACCGCCAGCUAAGGUCCCAAAGUCAUGGUUAAGUGGGAAACGAUGUGGGAAGGCCCAGACAGCCAGGAUGUUGGCUUAGAAGCAGCCAUCAUUUAAAGAAAGCGUAAUAGCUCACUGGUCGAGUCGGCCUGCGCGGAAGAUGUAACGGGGCUAAACCAUGCACCGAAGCUGCGGCAGCGACGCUGAUGCGUUGUUGGGUAGGGGAGCGUUCUGUAAGCCUGCGAAGGUGUGCUGUGAGGCAUGCUGGAGGUAUCAGAAGUGCGAAUGCUGACAUAAGUAACGAUAAAGCGGGUGAAAAGCCCGCUCGCCGGAAGACCAAGGGUUCCUGUCCAACGUUAAUCGGGGCAGGGUGAGUCGACCCCUAAGGCGAGGCCGAAAGGCGUAGUCGAUGGGAAACAGGUUAAUAUUCCUGUACUUGGUGUUACUGCGAAGGGGGGACGGAGAAGGCUAUGUUGGCCGGGCGACGGUUGUCCCGGUUUAAGCGUGUAGGCUGGUUUUCCAGGCAAAUCCGGAAAAUCAAGGCUGAGGCGUGAUGACGAGGCACUACGGUGCUGAAGCAACAAAUGCCCUGCUUCCAGGAAAAGCCUCUAAGCAUCAGGUAACAUCAAAUCGUACCCCAAACCGACACAGGUGGUCAGGUAGAGAAUACCAAGGCGCUUGAGAGAACUCGGGUGAAGGAACUAGGCAAAAUGGUGCCGUAACUUCGGGAGAAGGCACGCUGAUAUGUAGGUGAAGUCCCUCGCGGAUGGAGCUGAAAUCAGUCGAAGAUACCAGCUGGCUGCAACUGUUUAUUAAAAACACAGCACUGUGCAAACACGAAAGUGGACGUAUACGGUGUGACGCCUGCCCGGUGCCGGAAGGUUAAUUGAUGGGGUUAGCCGCAAGGCGAAGCUCUUGAUCGAAGCCCCGGUAAACGGCGGCCGUAACUAUAACGGUCCUAAGGUAGCGAAAUUCCUUGUCGGGUAAGUUCCGACCUGCACGAAUGGCGUAAUGAUGGCCAGGCUGUCUCCACCCGAGACUCAGUGAAAUUGAACUCGCUGUGAAGAUGCAGUGUACCCGCGGCAAGACGGAAAGACCCCGUGAACCUUUACUAUAGCUUGACACUGAACAUUGAGCCUUGAUGUGUAGGAUAGGUGGGAGGCUUAGAAGUGUGGACGCCAGUCUGCAUGGAGCCGACCUUGAAAUACCACCCUUUAAUGUUUGAUGUUCUAACGUUGACCCGUAAUCCGGGUUGCGGACAGUGUCUGGUGGGUAGUUUGACUGGGGCGGUCUCCUCCUAAAGAGUAACGGAGGAGCACGAAGGUUGGCUAAUCCUGGUCGGACAUCAGGAGGUUAGUGCAAUGGCAUAAGCCAGCUUGACUGCGAGCGUGACGGCGCGAGCAGGUGCGAAAGCAGGUCAUAGUGAUCCGGUGGUUCUGAAUGGAAGGGCCAUCGCUCAACGGAUAAAAGGUACUCCGGGGAUAACAGGCUGAUACCGCCCAAGAGUUCAUAUCGACGGCGGUGUUUGGCACCUCGAUGUCGGCUCAUCACAUCCUGGGGCUGAAGUAGGUCCCAAGGGUAUGGCUGUUCGCCAUUUAAAGUGGUACGCGAGCUGGGUUUAGAACGUCGUGAGACAGUUCGGUCCCUAUCUGCCGUGGGCGCUGGAGAACUGAGGGGGCUGCUCCUAGUACGAGAGGACCGGAGUGGACGCAUCACUGGUGUUCGGGUUGUCAUGCCAAUGGCACUGCCCGGUAGCUAAAUGCGGAAGAGAUAAGUGCUGAAAGCAUCUAAGCACGAAACUUGCCCCGAGAUGAGUUCUCCCUGACUCCUUGAGAGUCCUGAAGGAACGUUGAAGACGACGACGUUGAUAGGCCGGGUGUGUAAGCGCAGCGAUGCGUUGAGCUAACCGGUACUAAUGAACCGUGAGGCUUAACCUUACAACGCCGAAGCUGUU